CAAGUAUUAGAUUUUGGACUUACCAAUUUGUUUGAAUAAAAGAUGGUCAGAAUCCAGCAGCUUGGAUGUUGGAUAUAACUUCAGAAUUGCUUGAAGCAAUAAAUGGAGUCGACUUUGCUGAAGUGUACAAGACAUAACUAUACAGGAGAAACAAAGAAUUGACAGGGGUUCUGUUUGGAAGAAUUUUUCUGCUUGGAUUAUGAACAAAAAGUGGAUUCUUUACAGUGAAGUGUGGUGCUGAGCUGUGGAAGGGGCAAAAGUUCGAAAAGCAGUGAUAAGGAAGAAGAGAAACUGAAGGAUGUGGUACAUGUCAGAGUGAGAAGGGGCCACUGGCCCUCAAAUUUGCAGGCUGCAGUUGCAGAGACAGAUCUGAUGGCCCUCAUAAUAUGUGCGGAGAGUUGCUCAAAAUUAGCGGCAAUUUAGGAAGGUAACGUGUCUUCACCAGCUAUUGUGCAGGCUUGGAAUUCUUCAACACAUUAAUCAUGAUGAAUUUACGUAAAUAACUCUAUCUAUAUGCAAAGUUGCAAAUCAAAGUGAUUCGGAUGUGGUGUGUCGAUGAGGCUGACUAUGUUGUACUGGAUUGAUGAACAAAUCAGAGUUGAAAGAGUUCUGGGAACAAAUUUUUAAUCAAAGUUUCGACUCUAGAUUUUGAACUUUCUUCGACAUGCAAGUAGGAAAAUAUGAUCAAACAUCAUUGGCUCAUGAUGCUUCAGCAUACUUUAUUAGUAAUUAUAGUAUAUAAUUUGGAGGAUAAUUUUAUGGCAGAGUUGAUAAAGUUGCAGAUGGAUGAAUAACAGAGGAAGAAGUCAGAGAGAUAUGGACACCCUUACUGUGAUAUUGAAAAUUAGUCAUAUAAAUGGUCUACUUGAAAAAUUGUAUAUUAAGGAUAGAAAGUUAAUGUGUAAUUGGUCAAACAUUUACGUAGAUUAUCAGCCUCAGUGAAGUAGUAGAUCCGUCAAGUGUGUUCUCGGUUUCUCUUCUUUUUUGUUCUGGCCAUGUAUUGUUUGUUAUGAUACCAAUGUGUUCAGGUGCUGUUCCGGUGAGAGCAUAUAUUUAGGUUAAAGUGUAUUUUUAUGCUAAUCUGUUUUAAAUAAGUAUUAAAAUUAUGA